CCUCGCACAGCGCCGAGUGCCGCCCGCCGCCCUCCGCUCGGCCCCGCUCCGCUCCGCCGCUCCUUUCGCCGCUUCAGGGCCGCUCGGCGGCGGGAGAAGCGCAGCGCCCGGGCGCACCGCCCCGCCCGCCCUCCUUUCCUCCCUCCCCCCUUCCUUCCUUCCUUCCCCUCCCUCCCCGGCCCUUCCUCUCUCCGCCUGGUGCCGCCACCGCCGAGGAGGAGGAGGAACAUGGCGAAAGCGGAGCAGGUCCUCAGCCUCGAACCGCAGCACGAGCUCAAAUUCAAAGGUCCUUUCACAGAUGUUGUCACUACGAACCUGAAACUCGGCAACCCUACAGACAAAAAUGUGUGCUUCAAAGUUAAGACCACAGCACCACGUAGAUACUGUGUAAGGCCUAACAGUGGAAUUAUUGAUGCAGGAACAUCAAUUAAUGUUUCUGUGAUGCUACAGCCUUUUGACUAUGACCCGAAUGAGAAAAGUAAACACAAGUUUAUGGUUCAGUCUAUGUUUGCUCCAGUUGAUACUUCAGAUAUGGAAGCAGUAUGGAAAGAGGCAAAGCCGGAGGAGCUCAUGGACUCGAAACUUAGGUGUGUGUUUGAGCUACCGACGGAAAAUGAUAAGCCUCAUGACAUAGAAAUAAAUAAAAUUGUAUCCACAACUGCAACAAAGACAGAUUCCUCUGUAAUGUCUAAAUCAAUAAGUUCUUCCUUGGAUGACACUGAAGUUAAGAAAGUAAUGGAAGAAUAUAAGAGGCUUCAAGUAGAAGUUCAGAGGUUACGGGAGGAGAAUAAACAGUUUAAGGAAGAAGAUGGACUUCGGAUGAGAAAGGCACCUCAGACGAACAACCCAAUAUCUGCUUCUGCAGCUGUUGUCAAGGAUGAAGGGCACAGCUCCAGACUACUUGCUUUGGUGGUUUUGUUCUUUGUCAUUGGUGUAAUUAUAGGAAAAAUAGCCUUGUAGAGGCAGCAUGCUGGAAAUUGUAAAUUGGUUUGAUGGUUCUGCCAUAUCAUUGGAUUAAAUUUAUUCAUAACAGUGUUUAAAAAAAAAAAAUUAAUGUAUGACAUCUCACAGGUCUUGCCUUUAAAUUACCCCUGCACAAAUACUAUGUAACAUAAUCUAGAAAGUUUAAAAUGUACAAUGAGGGAAUGAAUGAAAGAAUAUUCUUCAGUGAUGAAGGGGGAAGAAAAUCAUGAUUUAACACUACAAUGGAAUAUUGUAUAUGUCAUUUUAAACAUUCUUAGUCCCUGGUACAUGUUGCUGGAUGACCUCUUUUUAAAAAAAAAAAGGAAAAAAAAAAAGGAAAAAUAGAAAAAAAAAAGAUUCCUCCACUGCUGGAGCUGGCCCUAUUGGAUGUUUGGAGCUGGGUUAGGCAGGAGGUGUUGAUAACUUCUGUAAAAUAUGUUAAUCCACCAUUCUGCUCAUAAAUUUAACAGUUUUUCUGUCAGUGUCUUCAACUCUGUGAAGUUACCAAUUUCUUGACACUUAAAUGAAUAGUGAGAAGCUGGAAAGAGUUGUAUGUGGCAACGCUGAAUGUGCUAGGCAUCAUUAAGAGGCGUAUAUUGACUGGUAUGACGCUAGUUUGGAGUAAAAGUCAAUGCCUUGUUCUUAUGGAGGGACCAAGCUACAUUGCUAUUGGUUCAUUUAGUUGAAUUAAAAUGUUAUUCAGAGAUGUUUAAUGCAUAUUUAACUUAUUUAAUGUAUUUCAUCUCAUGUUUCCUUCCUGUCACAAAAUUGACUAAUGCUUUAUGGUAUGAAAAGGCACCUGUUCUAAAGCCAGUGACUAGAACUAAAAAUCUGCUGCUGUAGUGAUGCAAGAUUCUUCUGCCUCCUGUAGUUUUGGGCACUACACAAUUGUUGGGAGUUUUGAUCAUCUGAGCAUUGGGGAAACAGUGGUCAGGAAACUGUUUUUGUAUGUAAAUAAGUCUAUCUAGGGGAAAAAAUAUUAGUAGUAAACUAGUCCUAUGCCGUAAAAAGACCAAUCCUGUUUGAUGAUGUAGCAUCUAAAAAAAGAAAAAAAAAAAAAAAAGAAGAAAAAAGAGAUUAAAUAAAGCCCCCAAAUUAAUGUUUCUUUUGUUACUGUUGUCAUGCUCUGAUAGUUUUGGCGGGGAGGGAACAGCAUUAUCUGUCAACUUAGCUUGUUUAUAGCAUAAGGAAACCAGUAGCCAUGUUUCAGAAAGACUUUUCCCUGCCUCAUUCUAAAAUCCAUGUGAGCAGCCCCACUCUGAGCAUCCUUUACUGGUGUGCUGUGUGUGUUGUCCACAGGAACCGUGCUGACUGCUGAGGUGCUGCAUAACUUCACAUUUCUCAGUUUAGUUGGAUUCAUUGGUUAAGAUGCUUACUAACAUAUCGAACGUGAAGCAAAGGUAAUUUUGUUUCUUUUCUUAUAAAACUCAAACUCUUUGUGCUUUAACGUGUUGGGCCUCAGUAGAUGAACUAGCUUCUGAGCAAGUGAACCCUUGUAUACUCUUAGAUCCCAUGCCCAGAAACCAUUGCUGACAAAGUUUUUGUAACACCAUUCAAGGUUAAGAAACAUCUUUAAAAUGUGGCUUCUUCCAUUCCUUUUUUGCUCCUGAGAUUCCUUGAGAAGGGUGUUUGGGCAGCCGCUGUCCGCUGUGCUCUUCUCCAUCAUUGCCUUUGGUAUUUGUUCCAUUUUUUCUCAGGUGCAAAAAAGUGAAACUUCCUGUGAGAUUUAAUAAGAAAAUGGCUUUGGGGGGAUGAAAAACUGUUUGGUGUGUGCCCCUUAGGAGCACAGCUCUGGAAGUAGCAACAGAAAUGAGAGGUUUGUUACUUUAAAAUGUUACUGCCUUCUUGUCUGCUUAGGAUGGAAGGAAAAAGAGCUAAAGUGUGGCUGCAGCAGUGUGCCAGGAGAAGAAAGCAGUGUGACAGACUGGGCUGAGGGAUGAGACAGAGAGUUCCUAAAGGCCAGUCUGUGGAGAUACUGCAAAAAUAAUCCAGCUUUUAUAAACCGUCCUUUAGAUGCUGCUGCUAGGAGAGCUUUUGUUUGGUAUUCACAGGAGGUGGAUAUUCUGGAGGGCAUUGUGUAUCUUAGGAAGUUAGGUAUGAAGUGUAGAGCUCAUGGAUAACACUAUCAUCUGGUGUCCUUCCACAGCACCAGCUGCUAGGAAACUGUAGUUGAUACACAGUAGUAGAAAACAAGUUAUUCUUUACUCAUUGUCCUUACUGCUCUUUUAAGAUACAUUUACUGUUAGUUUUUCUAAGAGCCAGCAGAGGCUGCUUUGGUAGUGCUCUCCCUGUGGAGCUCUGGCACUGCUGUCGGUGCAAUUUGGGCGCCUCUGCAAACAGUUCUAAAACAUCUAAGAGCUGAAGUUUGCUGAGAAGUGAAUGAGAAAACGAUCUCUGCUCUUUUCACGUGGCUGUUCCCAUCUUACAGCACCGUUCUGUGUGUGAGUGAUGGUGUCACUGUGCACUGCAGCUGUGGAGUGUGAAUGCACAUGAACAGCAGUUGUGUGUGCAGGCCAGGCACCCAGUUCUGGUUCUUGUCAAGUAUGUGUAGGGCCCAAAAAGUUAAGUUAAUACUACGUAUGUAAUGCUGAGAGGGAUUGAUGUAUCAUAAUGUAAUUUUCUAAAAGUAUAGGAUUGUAAAAGCUUGGUGAUGGUAUUCCAUGUUACUUUUUUUCUGCUGAAAUGCUGUUAGUGGGAUAAAGCUGGAAAUUCACUUUACAAAUUGCUAGACUUUCUUCUCACCAAUAAACCAUAAAGGGUUUCUA